rnacentral:rRNA from 1 species
CGAAAGCCUGACGGAGCAACGCCGCGUGGGGGAAGAAGGUUCUUGGAUUGUAAACCCCUUUUCUCAGGGAAGAAGUCCUGACGGUACCUGAGGAAUCAGCCUCGGCUAACUCCGUGCCAGCAGCCGCGGUAAUACGGAGGAGGCAAGCGUUAUCCGGAAUCAUUGGGCGUAAAGCGUUCGUAGGCGGCUGUUCAAGUCUGCUGUCAAAGACCGAGGCUCAACCUCGGGUCGGCAGUGUAAACUGGAUAGCUAGAGGUCGGUAGGGGCAAAGGGAAUUCCCAGUGUAGCGGUGAAAUGCGUAGAUAUUGGGAAGAACACCGGUGGCGAAAGCGUUCUGCUGGGCCGCACCUGACCCUGAGGGACGAAAGCCAGGGGAGCG